AACGAACGCUGGCGGCAGGCUUAACACAUGCAAGUCGAGCGCCCUGCAAGGGGAGCGGCAGACGGGUGAGUAACGAGUGGGAAUCUACCUUGAACUACGGGAUAGCUCCGGGAAACUGGAAUUAAUACCGUAUGUGCCCUUUGGGGGAAAGAUUUAUCGGUUCAGGAUGAGCCCGCGUCGGAUUAGCUAGUUGGUGGGGUAAAGGCCUACCAAGGCGACGAUCCGUAGCUGGUCUAAGAGGAUGAUCAGCCACAUUGGGACUGAGACACGGCCCAAACUCCUACGGGAGGCAGCAGUGGGGAAUAUUGGACAAUGGGCGCAAGCCUGAUCCAGCCAUGCCGCGUGAGUGAUGAAGGCCCUAGGGUUGUAAAGCUCUUUCACCGGGGACGAUAAUGACGGUACCCGGAGAAGAAGCCCCGGCUAACUUCGUGCCAGCCGCCGCCGUAAGAC
rnacentral:rRNA from 1 species